GCCGUUGUAGCUCAGGGGUAGAGCACUUCCUUGGUAAGGAAGAGGUCGUGAGUUCAAUUCUCAUCAACGGCU
rnacentral:tRNA from 15 species